UUAAAAUUUAAAUUUUAAGCUUGAACAUUUUAUAUUCUAAAUUUACAUUUAAAUUUUGGAUAAUAAAAAAUUUUAAAUUUUAAAUAUUUAAUUAUUUAUUUUAGUUUUACUUAAUUUUUAUAACCAACUUUAGCAAAUAAUGUUGAAUAAUUUAUUUAAAAAAUUUUAAAAAUUGCGUAAAUUUUUCGCAGCGAAGCGCGGGGCCUUCACUAAUAACAUAUAAUUGAUGAGUUUGGAGAAAUU
rnacentral:lncRNA from 1 species